CGGCCCGGAGGAGGCUCAUGCGGGAUUUCAAGCGGUUACAAGAGGACCCACCUGUGGGUGUCAGUGGCGCACCAUCUGAAAACAACAUCAUGCAGUGGAAUGCAGUUAUAUUUGGGUGAGUUGAAAGGUUUAACAAAUAAUAGUAGUGUGCUGAAUCUUUAAGAAAAGUGAACAUAUAACAACUGUCUAGGAAAAGAAACUGAGGUGGAAUGAGAGAUCUUAAGGACUAAAACUG
rnacentral:sRNA from 1 species